AUACUAUGGCAGGGGAGAUACCAUGAUCAUGAACGUAGUUUUCCCAGGGUGAGGCUUGUUCAUUAUACCCCAGGUGUCCUGACCUCUGGGACUUCCCCAAAUGAGGGAACUCGACUGCAUAAUUCAUGGUAGUGGGGAACUGUAUUCAUUCUCUUCCCUC